GUAUGUCUUAAUCUGUAAACUAGUAUGAAAGCUUCUCAAUCUUGCUAAAACAAACAAAAUUGACAAAUGAUCUGUUGAAGGAUUCUAUUUCUGGUACUUGCGCAUGCACGUUAAAAAAAUUCCAUUUUAUCCUCUCCGUUUUGUGAAGUAUAACUGAGGCUACAUUAUCGACAGAGAUGGAAAAUCUUCUUUCAAUAUUAUUAGCGUUGGCCAUUGCAUUGAUGUUUCUCUUAGGAACAUCUUACGCUUGCACGUCAGACGAUGACUGUCUACCCCCAUUGAUAUGUGACACAAGUAGGGCGCUGAAAAUUUGCUGGUAGGACAUUGCAGGCUGGAGCAAAGAUGUAAGAGGAAUAGAUUACUCAACAAGCUCAAUUGCAUGCACAGAGAAGGAAUAGUUUGCAUACAGACCAAUAUAAAUAUAUUUUGGAAUCGAUUAAAAUAAAAUGAAAUAAA